rnacentral:rRNA from 1 species
GUACACAAAAAUGCACAUAUUGUGAGCUCGAUGAGUAGGGCGGGACACGUGGUAUCCUGUCUGAAUAUGGGGGGACCAUCCUCCAAGGCUAAAUACUCCUGACUGACCGAUAGUGAACCAGUACCGUGAGGGAAAGGCGAAAAGAACCCCGGCGAGGGGAGUGAAAAAGAACCUGAAACCGUGUACGUACAAGCAGUGGGAGCCUCUUAAUGGGGUGACUGCGUACCUUUUGUAUAAUGGGUCAGCGACUUAUAUUCUGUAGCAAGGUUAACCGAAUAGGGGAGCCGAAGGGAAACCGAGUCUUAACUGGGCGUUAAGUUGCAGGGUAUAGACCCGAAACCCGGUGAUCUAGCCAUGGGCAGGUUGAAGGUUGGGUAACACUAACUGGAGGACCGAACCGACUAAUGUUGAAAAAUUAGCGGAUGACUUGUGGCUGGGGGUGAAAGGCCAAUCAAACCGGGAGAUAGCUGGUUCUCCCCGAAAGCUAUUUAGGUAGCGCCUCGUGAAUUCAUCUCCGGGGGUAGAGCACUGUUUCGGCAAGGGGGUCAUCCCGACUUACCAACC